rnacentral:rRNA from 1 species
GGUGCUUAUGUAAACGGCGGCCGUUCGUAGCGGUUUUAAUGUAGCGCAAUUUCUUGCCCUUUAAUUGGGGGAGGGAGGAAUGGGUUGACGUUGGGGGGUCUGUCUCCUAAGCAGUGUUGUAGAAAUUUUCUUCUUAGUGAAAAGCCUGAGAUGUGUUUAAAAGACGAGAAGACCCUGUCGAGCUUGAUGGUCAUUUGGUUUACUCAGAGAGGGCGAAUUUUUAUGAGAAAUUUAGUUGGGGCAACUCUGGAGAAGUCAAAACCUCUGGACAUGUGUGGUGAGGAUCCAUUAUUUAAUGACUUACAUUAGAAGAAGUUACCGCAGGGAUAACAGCGCGGCGCCCCUUGAGAGGUCUUAUCAAAGGGGGAGAGUGCGACCUCGAUGUUGGAUUAGGAUUGCUUACCGGCGCAGCAGCUGGAAGAGUGGGUCUGUUCGCCCUUUAAAAUCCUACAUGAUCUGAGUUCAAACCGGAG